rnacentral:rRNA from 1 species
UACGGGGGGGGCAAGCGUUGUUCGGAAUUACUGGGCGUAAAGGGCGCGUAGGCGGCCACGACAAGUCACUUGUGAAAUCUCCGGGCUUAACUCGGAAAGGUCAAGUGAUACUGUCGGGCUAGAGUACAGAAGGGGCAACUGGAAUUCUCGGUGUAGCGGUGAAAUGCGUAGAUAUCGAGAGGAACACCUGCGGCGAAGGCGGGUUGCUGGGCUGAUACUGACGCUGAUGCGCGAAAGCCAGGGGAGCGAACGGG